CCUACGGGAGGCAGCAGUGAGGAAUAUUGGUCAAUGGACGAGAGUCUGAACCAGCCAAGUAGCGUGAAGGAUGACUGCCCUAUGGGUUGUAAACUUCUUUUAUAUGGGAAUAAAAUGUUCCACGUGUGGGAUUUUGUAUGUACCAUAUGAAUAAGGAUCGGCUAAAUCCGUUCCAGCAGCCGCGGUAAUACGGAGGAUCCGAGCGGUAUCCGGAAUUAUUGGGGUUAAAGGGAGCGUAGGUGGGUUGUUAAGUCAGUUGUGAAAGUUUGCGGCGCAACCGUAAAAUUGCAGUUGAAACUGGCAGUCUUGAGUACAGUUGAGGUAGGCGGAAUUCGUGGUGUAGCGGUGAAAUGCUUAGAUAUCACGCAGAACCCCGAUUGCGAAGGCAGCUUACUAAACUGUGACUGACAUUGAUGCUCGAAAGUGUGGGUAUCAAACAGGAUUAGAUACCCCAGUAGUC
rnacentral:rRNA from 1 species